GACCUACAAGAUAGCUCAGUUGGUAGAGCAUGAGACUCUUGAUCUCAGUGUUAUGGAUUCACAUCCCAUUUUGGUCU